rnacentral:rRNA from 1 species
ACACGUGGGUAACCUGCCUUAUAGCGGGGGAUAGCCUUUCGAAAGGAAGAUUAAUACCGCAUAAGAUUGUAGUAUCGCAUGAUAUAGCAAUUAAAGGAGCAAUUCGCUAUAAGAUGGACCCGCGUCGCAUUAGCUAGUUGGUGAGGUAAUGGCUCACCAAGGCGACGAUGCGUAGCCGACCUGAGAGGGUGAUCGGCCACAUUGGGACUGAGACACGGCCCAGACUCCUACGGGAGGCAGCAUG